UGAGGAGGACGUGUCCUGGGAGUGUCCCCACCAUGGCCUGGAUGGCGCUUCUGCUCGGGCUCCUCACUUAUGGCUUAGGGGUGGAUUCUCAGACUGUGGUCCAGGAGCCAUCCGUGUCAGUGUCUUCAGGAGGGACGAUCAGCCUCACCUGUGGCCUUAGCUCUGGGUCAGUCACUACCGGUUACUACCCCAGCUGGUACCAGCAGACCCCAGCCCAGGCUCCCAAAACUGUCAUCUACCACACAAGCAGCCGCCCCUCUGGGGUCCCUGGUCGCUUCUCUGGAUCCAUCAUUGGGAACAAAGCCGCCCUCACCAUCAGGGGGGCCCAGCCUGAGGACGAGGCUGACUAUUACUGUAGUCUCUACGUGAGUAGUGCGACCGCGUCCCCGGGACAGACGGCCACACUCUCCUGCCCUGGAAACAGCAACAACGUUGGCAGCGAGGGGGCAGCUUGUGCAGCAACACCCUGGCUGGGUCCCCAAACUCCUGACCCACAGGAGUCACAACCGUCCCCCAGGGUCUCAGGGAGGUCCUUGGGCUCCAGGUCAGGCGGCGGGGCCUCCCUGAGCAUCUCUGGGCUCCAGGCCGAGGCCGAGGCUGAUUAUUCCUGCUCAGCCUGGGACGGCAGCCUGGCUCCUCACCCGGUGCUUCACGCCAGGGGGCUGGUGAGCCCCGAACCCUGA